CCUACGGGAGGCUGCAGUGAGGAAUAUUGGUCAAUGGGCGCGAGCCUGAACCAGCCAAGUAGCGUGAAGGAUGACUGCCCUACGGGUUGUAAACUUCUUUUAUAAAGGAAUAAAACGAGGCACGUUUGCCUUUUUGAAUGUACUUUAUGAAUAAGGAUCGGCUAACUCCGUGCCAGCAGCCGCGGUAAUACGGAGGAUCCGAGCGUUAUCCGGAUUUAUUGGGUUUAAAGGGAGCGUAGAUGGGUUGUUAAGUCAGUUGUUAAAGUUUGCGGCUCAACCGUAAAAUUGCAAUUGAUACUGGCAGUCUUGAGUACAGGUGAGGUAGGCGGAAUUCGUGGUGUAGCGGUGAAAUGCUUAGAUAUCACGAAGAACCCCGAUUGCGAAGGCAGCGUACUAACCUGUGACUGACAUUGAGGCUCGAAAGUGUGGGUAUCAAACAGGAUUAGAUACCCGGGUAGUC
rnacentral:rRNA from 1 species